rnacentral:rRNA from 1 species
AGAAUCAACGCUGGCGGCGUGCCUAACACAUGCAAGUCGAACGAGAAAGUGGAGCAAUCCAUGAGUAAAGUGGCGCACGGGUGAGUAACACGUGACUAACCUACCCUUGAGUGGGGGAUAACCUCGGGAAAACCGGGGCUAAUACCGCAUAAUAUCGAGAGAUCAAAGGAGCAAUUCGCUUAAGGAGGGGGUCGCGGCUGAUUAGCUAGUUGGUAGGGUAAUGGCCUACCAAGGCUAUGAUCAGUAUCCGGCCUGAGAGGGCGCACGGACACACUGGAACUGAAACACGGUCCAGACUCCUACGGGAGGCAGCAGUGGGGAAUUUUGCGCAAUGGGGGAAACCCUGACGCAGCAACGCCGCGUGGAGGAUGAAGUCCCUUGGGACGUAAACUCUUUCGAUCGGGACGAUAAUGACGGUACCGGAAGAAGAAGCCCGGCUAACUUCGCGCCAGCAGCCGC